rnacentral:rRNA from 1 species
UGAAGAAUUUGUCCAACGGCGGGGGAUAGCCGGCCCAACGGCCGGGUAAUACCGCGUACGACCUUCGGGGGGCAUCCCCUGAUGGUGAAAGCCGCAAGGCGCCGAUGGAGAACUUCGCGGCCUAUCAGCUAGUUGGUGAGGUCAUGGCUCACCAAGGCGACGACGGGUAGCUGGUCCGAGAGAUGACCAGCCACAUUGGGACUGAGACCACGGCCCAGACCUCCGUACGGGAGCAG